AAUGAACGCUAGCUACAGGCUUAACACAUGCAAGUCGAGGGACCGGCGCAAAGGUGAGUCACACGUAUCCAACCUUCCCUUUACUCGGGGAGCGCCUUUCGAAAGAAAGCUUAAUACCCGAAGAGCAGGAUGGGGAUGCGUUCCAUUAGGUUGUUGGUGAGGUAACGGCUCACCAAGCCUUCGAUGGAUAGGGGUUCUGAGAGUAAGGUCCCGUACAUCGGAACUGCGACACUGUCCAAAACACGACGCGAGGCAGCAGUGAGGAAUAUUGGUCAAUGAGCGUUAGCCUGACCCAGCGAAGUAGCGUGAAGGAUGAAGGGUUAGGGGUCUUAAACUUCUUGUAUAGAAGAAUCUGUAUUAUAUGAAUAAGGAUCGGCUAACUCCGUGCCAGCAGCCGCGGUAAUAC
rnacentral:rRNA from 1 species